rnacentral:rRNA from 1 species
GCCUUGCCAGCCUUAACGCCAUUAAGCACUCCGCCUGGGGAGUACGACCGCAAGGUUUGAAACUUCAAAGGAAUUGACGGGGGCCCGCACAAGCGGUGGAGCAUGUGGUUUAAUUCGAAGCAACGCGAAGAACCUUACCAGGUCUUGACAUCCUUUGACCACUCUAGAGAUAGAGCUUCCCCUUCGGGGGCAAAGUGACAGGUGGUGCAUGGUUGUCG